GUUUGUUAAGAGAUUUAAUUAUAUGCUCUAAGUCUGAGCAAAGAGAGAGUUAGCAAGGAAGUGAGGGGUUUUCUCAUUCUCAAGACUUUUUUUUCCCCCUCUCCUUUGAGGAGAGCUUUCUCUAGAGCCCCAGCUGAGAAGGAAAUGGUGACAAAAGGCUCUGUAAAAAAUGUGUUGUCACUAAUUUGGGCAAGCUAAAUAUGUGGUCUGUGUCUCUGCUGAGUGAUAGAGUUAUCCUGAGCUGUGCUGGUGUGUGUGCUCCAAGAAAAGGAGGAGAGAAAACGGCAUGGAGCUGGAGGAGAAACGGGAGAUCAUCUGAAAUCUGCAUGGUUGAAAGUGGGACUGUGCCCCUCCACUCGUACUGGGCAGCAAAAGGAAAGGAUCAUCACUGUAAGUCUGGGUUGUCUUUAUACCUUACUUUCAUUUCUUCAAUUGAAAUAUCUGUCUAAGUGAAAUGAUGUUGGUUUUUUGGAAGUCUGAUUUUGUUGACUCAAUGAGAUAAAACU
rnacentral:lncRNA from 1 species